GAAAUGCGAUAAGUAAUGUGAAUUGCAGAAUUCAGUGAAUCAUCGAAUCUUUGAACGCACCUUGCGCUCCUUGGUAUUCCUUGGAGCAUGCCUGUUUGAGUAUCAUGAAAUCUUCAAAGUAAAUCUUUUGUUAACUCAAUUGGUUUCUACUUUGGUAUUGGAGGUCUUUGCAGCUUCACACCUGCUCCUCUUUGUUCAUUAGCUGGAUGUCAGUGUUAUGCUUGGUUCCACUCGGCGUGAUAAGUUAUCUAUCGCUGAGGACACUGUAAAAGGUGGCCAAGGUAAAUGCAGAUGAACCGCUUCUAAUAGUCCAUUGACUUGGACAAUACUUUUAUGAUCUGAUCUCAAAUCAGAUAGGACUACCCGCUGAACUUAAGC
rnacentral:misc_RNA from 1 species